CAAACUAAGAAAUGGGUCAGGAAACUCAGCCACAACGGUAAAGUUCAAACCAUGUGUGACUGGCAAGUUUUUUGCUACCAAGAUAAAGACUAACCAACUAAGUUAUCAUGACAGGCAUGAAGGAGUAUGAGACCAAGGAGAGAGACACUCAAAAGAAAUAGUGGACGCAAAGAGGUGGACGACAAGAGCCUACAAAGUUCUUACCAGAACAUGGUAUUAAGCGUGAGGGCAGCAAUGAUGCUGUACAAGGGCCUCUCCCAGACGAGUAGCCUCUGCACCCACAACACCACGGGCUCAUACUGCGACAGCCAGCCUUGGAGCCAUUCACGAAG